AUUGAACGCUGGCGGCAUGCCUUGCACAUGCAAGUCGAACGGCAGCACGGGUGCUUGCACCUGGUGGCGAGUGGCGAACGGGUGAGUAAUACAUCGGAACGUACCUUAUCGUGGGGGAUAACGCAGCGAAAGCUGUGCUAAUACCGCAUACGCCCUGAGGGGGAAAGCGGGGGAUCGCAAGACCUCGCGCGAUUAGAGCGGCCGAUGCCUGAUUAGCUUGUUGGUGGGGUAAAAGCCCACCAAGGCGACGAUCAGUAGCUGGUCUGAGAGGACGAUCAGCCACACUGGGACUGAGACACGGCCCAGAAUCCUACGGGAGGCAGCAGUGGGGAAUUUUGGACAAUGGGGGCAACCCUGAUCCAGCAAUGCCGCGUGAGUGAAGAAGGCCUUCGGGUUGUAAAGCUCUUUUGUCAGGGAAGAAACACCGGCUCUAACACAGUCCGGGAAUGACGGUACCUGAAGAAUAAGCACCGGCUAACUACGUGCCAGCCGCCGCGGUAA
rnacentral:rRNA from 1 species